UACGGAGGGUGCAAGCGUUAUCCGGAUUCACUGGGUUUAAAGGGUGCGUAGGAGGGCAGGUAAGUCAGUGGUGAAAUCUCCGAGCUUAACUUGGAACUGCCGUUGAUACUAUCUGUCUUGAAUACCGUGGAGAUGAGCGGAAUAUGUCAUGUAGCGGUGAAAUGCUUAGAUAUGACAUAGAACACCAAUUGCGAAGGCAGCUCGCUACACAUAUAUUGACUCUGAGGCACGAAAGCGUGGGGAGCAAACAGG
rnacentral:rRNA from 1 species